UGCCUUCAUCAUCAGAACAUAGUCGUCGUC
rnacentral:piRNA from 1 species